rnacentral:ncRNA from 1 species
UGAGAUAGAGGAUGCGUUUCGUCAUCAGUAACGGCACCAAAGUGGUACAGCGCCGAUGCCGGGAAAGGGACAAACGCCGAAGUCGGACCGAGCUGUAUGGCGGUCUUGCUGGGCAGGCGGAAUAAGAUCCGUCUGACUGUCGCAGAAAGAUGCGGAGCGCUAUCA